CCCCCACCCCACCUAUAUAAACAAAACAGGAUGAAUGGGAGACAGAAAAACAGGCGAGAGAGCCUCCACACUUGGGGAGAUCACCGCCCCAUCUCAUGGCUUUCUGUCCAUGUUCUAGGGAAACUUGGAACUCAAGGUGCUUGCGUCCAUGGAGUCCCAGAUACAGGAAGAGACGACACAGAGCAGCAAAGUAACUUGGCCAAAGGCACACAGCCAGUGAAAGGUGGACCGAGGUUGUGCCUUGAGAGCUCAUGCCUCACCAUGAAGCCAUCUUUGUCUCCUGGCUCCCUCACUUGAGAAGCAGGCACACCAUUCUUCCCUGAUUCUGCAACCUACCUGGAAGAAGAGCUAAGUGUGAACAUAUUAACCCAAAGUCAGAGUCCAGAAGGAGGCUCAGGCUGGGAGCCCUGAAGAGACCAUUGGUUGCUAGGGCUGCAGCUCAUAUUGGCCCUCCGUGGCUGUGUAGAAGUCCUCCAACACCGACUGCAGGAACUCAAAGCUUUCCAACAUCCACUGCCAUCUCUACCUUCCUAAUAAAUAGAACUACCCUACUCCAUCAUGGCGGCCCAGAAUUGGAACUACAUUUCCCAGACUCCCUUGCAGCCAAGGGAGCCUCUCAUUGAGGUGAGUGGGAGGGAUGUGUCUCUAGAGGAAAGGAGGUGGGAUUUUUAUCACCAUCAUCUUGCUGGCUAAGGGUCAAGGGUGGGUGAUGAAGCUUCAGCAUCUACCAUGCUAUCAGGGCAGAGGACAUCAGUGAGUAAAGUCUCUCAUCUGUUCUCUAGGGGUUUAUAUAUUUAGAGGUCGCUACUUCAGGCUUUCUGCCCUUCACAGUUGAGCACAGCCUCCUACCAGGGAAUUCAGUACAGUCACAAAGCACAGAGUGGGGCGCCCCCCCCCUUCAGGCUCCCGCUCUGCUUCAGAGCUCACCAACCUGGGCUGACAUGUCAAUCAGCCUUGGAAGGGACAACCUGCUACCUUCAUCGGUCUUCAGAAAAUCCAGCAAGCAUCCUAGGAGAAGAAAGACAGCAACUGCAAAGUGACUGGAUGGAGCCUGGCUCUGAUUGCGUGGUCUGUGUCUAUGUGAGGAGGUAGGGGUGGUGAUCUGCCUACAGCUGAGGUGCCUCAGGCUUCAGGGAAACACUAGCUCCCAGACUUUUAAAAGUUAGUUCUCAG
rnacentral:lncRNA from 1 species